CAGCCCUAAACGAUGCGCGUUAGGUGUAUCGGUGACCACGAGUCACCGAGGUGCCGAAGGGAAACCGUGAAACGUGCCGCCUGGGAAGUACGGUCGCAAGGCUGAAACUUAAAGGAAUUGGCGGGGGGAGCACUACAACGGGUGGAGCCUGCGGUUUAAUUGGACUCAACGCCGGAAACUCACCGGGGGCGACAGCAAUAUGUAGGUCAAGCUAAAGACUUUACCAGAAUCGCUGAGAGGAGGUGCAUGGCGUAGUCGUGU
rnacentral:rRNA from 1 species